CCUACGGGUGGCUGCAGUGGGGAAUAUUGGACAAUGGGCGAAAGCCUGAUCCAGCCAUGCCGCGUGUGUGAAGAAGGCCUUCGGGUUGUAAAGCACUUUCAGUGGGGAAGAAAGCCUUGGGGCUAAUACCCUCGAGGAAGGACAUCACCCACAGAAGAAGCACCGGCUAACUCCGUGCCAGCAGCCGCGGUAAUACGGAGGGUGCGAGCGUUAAUCGGAAUUACUGGGCGUAAAGCGCGCGUAGGCGGUCUGAUAAGCCGGGUGUGAAAGCCCCGGGCUCAACCUGGGAACGGCAUCCGGAACUGUCAGGCUAGAGUGCAGGAGAGGAAGGUAGAAUUCCCGGUGUAGCGGUGAAAUGCGUAGAGAUCGGGAGGAAUACCAGUGGCGAAGGCGGCCUUCUGGACUGACACUGACGCUGAGGUGCGAAAGCGUGGGUAGCAAACAGGAUUAGAUACCCCGGUAGUC
rnacentral:rRNA from 1 species